rnacentral:rRNA from 1 species
GAUGAACGUUGGCGGCGUGCCUAAUACAUGCAAGUCGAGCGAACAGACGAGGAGCUUGCUCCUCUGACGUUAGCGGCGGACGGGUGAGUAACACGUGGAUAACCUACCUAUAAGACUGGGAUAACUUCGGGAAACCGGAGCUAAUACCGGAUAACAUGUUGAACCGCAUGGUUCAACAGUGAAAGACGGUCUUGCUGUCACUUAUAGAUGGAUCCGCGCCGCAUUAGCUAGUUGGUAAGGUAACGGCUUACCAAGGCAACGAUGCGUAGCCGACCUGAGAGGGUGAUCGGCCACACUGGAACUGAGACACGGUCCAGACUCCUACGGGAGGCAGCAGUAGGGAAUCUUCCGCAAUGGGCGAAAGCCUGACGGAGCAACGCCGCGUGAGUGAAGAAGGUCUUCGGAUCGUAAAACUCUGUUAUUAGGGAAGAACAAAUGUGUAAGUAACUAUGCACGUCUUGACGGUACCUAAUCAGAAAGCCACGGCUAACUACGUG